CCUACGGGAGGCAGCAGUGAGGAAUAUUGGUCAAUGGACGAGAGUCUGAACCAGCCAAGUAGCGUGAAGGAUGACUGCCCUAUGGGUUGUAAACUUCUUUUAUAUGGGAAUAAAACGUUCCACGUGUGGGAUUUUGUAUGUACCAUAUGAAUAAGGAUCGGCUAACUCCAUGCCAGCAGCCGCGGUAAUACGGAGGAUCCGAGCGUUAUCCGGAUUUAUUGGGUUUAAAGGGAGCGUAGGUGGAUUGUUAAGUCAGUUGUGAAAGUUUGCGGCUCAAACGUAAAAUUGCAGUUGAAACUGGCAGUCUUGAGUACAGUAGAGGUGGGCGGAAUUCGUGGUGUAGCGGUGAAAUGCUUAGAUAUCACGAAGAACUCCGAUUGCGAAGGCAGUUCACUGGACUGCAACUGACACUGAGGCUCGAAAGUGUGGGUAUCAAACAGGAUUAGAUACCCCAGUAGUC
rnacentral:rRNA from 1 species